rnacentral:rRNA from 1 species
CGGACGGGUGAGUAACGCGUGAGAAUUUGCCUUUCGGAUGGGGAUAACAGGGGGAAACCCCUGCUAAUACCCAAUGUGCAGCGAUGUGAAAGAUUUAUCGCCGAAAGAGAAGCUCGCGUCUGAUUAGCUAGUUGGUGAGGUAAAGGCUCACCAAGGCGACGAUCAGUAGCCGGUCUGAGAGGAUGAUCGGCCACACUGGGACUGAGACACGGCCCAGACUCCUACGGGAGGCAGCAGUGGGGAAUUUUCCGCAAUGGGCGAAAGCCUGACGGAGCAACGCCGCGUGUGGGAAGAAGGCUCUUGGGCUGUCAACCACUUUUCUCAGGGAAGAAGUUCUGACGGUACCUGAGGAAUCAGCCUCGGCUAACUCCGUGCCAGCAGCCGCGGUAAUACGGAGGAGGCAAGCGUUAUCCGGAAUUAUUGGGCGUAAAGCGUCCGCAGAGGGCGCAUCAAGUCUGCUGUUAAAGGCUGGAGCUUAACUCCGGUAGAGCAGUGGAAACUGGUGCGCUAGAGGGCGACAGGGGUAGAGGGAAUUCCCAGUGUAGCGGUGAAAUGCGUAGAGAUUGGGAAGAACACCGGUGGCGAAAGCGCUCUACUGGACCGCAACUGACACUCACAGGACGAAAGCUAGGGGAGCGAAUGGGAUUAGAUACCCCAGUAGUC